rnacentral:rRNA from 1 species
GACGUAGGGCGCGAGCGUUGUCCGGAUUUAUUGGGCGUAAAGAGCUCGUAGGCGGCUUGUCGCGUCGACUGUGAAAACCCGUGGCUCAACCAUGUGGUCUGCAGUCGAUACGGGCAGGCUAGAAUUCGGUAGGGGAGAAUGGAAUUCCCGGUGUAGCGGUGAAAUGCGCAGAUAUCGGGAAGAACACCCGUGGCGAAGGCGGUUCUCUGGGACGGUACUGACGCUGAGACGCGAAAGCGUGGGGGAGCGAACAGG